CUCAGCCAACACCUGCCAGGAGGGAAACAAGAAACCCUCACUGGGAACUGCACGGCUCUGCUCCCAGCCCUCUGGCCACUGAGGACCACUUAUCAUUCAAGGGGACAGACCCUACGGGGAGGAGCAGAGCUGGGGCCCUCCGGAGGCCAGCCUCUCAAGAGCCAUUUCUGGUGCUACCGGAGGAGCGAGGCCCUGUUCUGAUCCGGAGACACUGCAGCGUCUAUAGAAGGAAGAGGCCUUUGCCAGGUGAGAUAAAGAGGUCAGUUUCUCCUGGGGCCUCUCUCUGCUGUCUAAACACUUGCCAAGGCACCAAACCGGCUCUAUCUAGAAUGAUAAGGAAGUGUGUGAACUCCAAGCCCCAAGGACAGGCACCCUCUUCCCCUCCAAGGAACUGACUCAGCGCAAGAAGACAGCUCGGACUCCAUUUGAUUUCAUCCCUGAUCAGUCGGCACUCCCGGCUCACUGGCUUCCCUCCACCCACCAAGUUAUUCUUAAAACCUCUGCUCCCUGAAUGCUCGGGGAGACCGAUUUAAUAAUAAAACUCCAGGCUCUUGCACAGCUGGCUCUGCAUGAAUUACUCUUUCUCUAUUGCAAUUCCCCUGUCUUGAUGAAUUGGCUCCAUCUAGGCAGUGGACAAGGUGAACCCACUGGGAGAUUACACUUACACAAAGCGGAAAUUUGGACACAGAGACAUGAGUCAAAGGAAGACAAUGUGAAGACACAGAAGAUGGCCCUUUGCAAGCCAAGGAGAAAGGCCUGGAACAGACCUUGAAGACCCUGGCUUGCAGACCUUCCCUCACAGCCUCAGAAGGAGCCCACCCUGCUGACACCUUGAUUUUGGACUUCCAGCCCCAGAACUAUGAGACAGUGUAUUUCUGUUGUUUAAGCCAUAGGUACCCAGCCUUUGUACUGUUUUCAGCAGCUCUAAAUCCCCUCUAUUAAAUGCCUUAGUGCUG
rnacentral:lncRNA from 10 species